rnacentral:rRNA from 1 species
GAUGAACGCUAGCGGCAGGCUUAAUACAUGCAAGUCGAGGGGCAUCAAGGUACACGAAAGUGUAUUGUUGGCGACCGGCGGACGGGUGAGUAAUAGGUAGGUAACCUACCUCAUACUGAGGCAUAGCUGGGAGAAAUUCCAGGUAAUUCCUCAUGAGGUUAUAUGACACAUGUGAUAUAAUCAAAGGUAUCGCAAGGUACUGGUAUGAGAUGGGCUUACUGACCAUUAGCUAGUUGGUGAGAUAAGAGCUCACCAAGGCGAGGAUGGUUAGGGGUUUGAGAGAGAGAUCCCCCACAUUGGAACUGAGAUACGGUCCAGACUCCUACGGGAGGCAGCAGUAGGGAAUAUUGGGCAAUGGGCGGAAGCCUGACCCAGCCAUGCCGCGUGAAGGAAGACGGCCUUAUGGGUUGUAAACUUCUUUACUAUGCGACUAACUAGAUUUACGAGAUAAUUCUAUAGAAUGUAGCAUAGCAAAAAGCACCGGA